rnacentral:rRNA from 1 species
ACGGAAGGCAGCAGCUAAGAAUAUUCCGCAAUGGACGAAAGUCUGACGGAGCGACGCCGCGUGGAUGAUGAAGGUCGGAAGAUUGUAAAAUCCUUUUAUAACUGAGGAAUAAGCAGGGUGAGAGAAACGCCUUGUGGUGCCUGUAGGUUAUGAAUAAGCAACGGCUAAUUACGUGCCAGCAGCCGCGGUAACACGUAAGUUGCGAGCGUUGUUCGGAAUUAUUGGGCGUAAAGGGCAUGUAGGCGGUUUUGCAAGCUUGAUGGGAAAGGCAGGAGCUUAACUCCUGGACUGCGUUGAGAACUGCAUGAAUAGAGUCACUGAGGGGCAAUCAGAAUUCCUGGUGUAGGGGUGAAAUCUGUAGAUAUCAGGAAGAAUACCAAUGGCGAAGGCAGGUUACCAGCAGAUGACUGACGCUGAGGUGCGAAGGUGCGGGGAGCAAACAGGAUUAGAUACCCUGGUA